rnacentral:rRNA from 1 species
UCGAAGGUAGCAUAAUCAGUAGUUUUUUAAUUGAAAACUUGUAUGAAGGGUUUAACGAAAUAUAAGCUGUUUCAUAAAAAUUUAUAUAGAAAUUAAUUUUUUAGUUAAAAAGCUAAAAUAAUUUUAAGGGACGAGAAGACCCUAUAGAGUUUAAUAUUUAUUUAAUUUUAAUUUAUUUAUAAUUAUAAAAAUUUAAUUUAAUAUAAUAUUUUGUUGGGGUGACAGUAAAAAUUUUUUAUCUUUUAUUAUUAUUUAUCAAUGAUUUUUGAACAAUUGAUCCAUUUUUAUUGAUUAAAAGAUUAAAUUACCUUAGGGAUAACAGCGUAAUUUUUUUGUAGAGUUCUUAUUAAUAAAAAAUUUUGC